GAUGAACGCUGGCGGCGUGCCUAAUACAUGCAAGUCGAGCGAACGGACGAGAAGCUUGCUUCUCUGAUGUUAGCGGCGGACGGGUGAGUAACACGUGGAUAACCUACCUAUAAGACUGGGAUAACUUCGGGAAACCGUAGCUAAUACCGGAUAAUAUUUUGAGCCGCAUGGUUCAAAAGUGAAAGACGGUCUUGCUGUCACUUAUAGAUGGAUCCGCGCUGCAUUAGCUAGUUGGUAAGGUAACGGCUUACCAAGGCAACGAUGCAUAGCCGACCUGAGAGGGUGAUCGGCCACACUGGAACUGAGACACGGUCCAGACUCCUACGGGAGGCAGCAGUAGGGAAUCUUCCGCAAUGGGCGAAAGCCUGACGGAGCAACGCCGCGUGAGUGAUGAAGGUCUUAGGAUCGUAAAACUCUGUUAUUAGGGAAGAACAUAUGUGUAAGUAACUGUGCACAUCUUGACGGUACCUAAUCAGAAAGCCACGGCUAACUACGUG
rnacentral:rRNA from 1 species